CGGUGAAGCUGAUGAAGACCAAUUACGAGUUACGAACGGUAGAUUGAAAGAAAUAAAUCAAGGUUCACGCUUAAUUGGUAGUGAUGUAGCUAACUUUCCUAGUAAUAAAGAGAUUGUAAUUAUUCAGGACGCUAACGUAGCCUAUGAUACAGAAUCCGAAUUUGAAGUUCCUAUACUUCGAAAACAAAAGCCAAUAGUGCAUGCCAAAGAAAAAGAAAAUCCUAAAAAUAGUAACAAAGACAAAACGUUAGUCAUGGGCUACAGUACAGCAGGCAAGCAAGGAAAUAAUAAUUUGGCCAAUAAUGAUCUUGCAAUUAUUGAUUAUAUCCAAGCUGAGCCAAGCCAAGACAAGCCAAAUUUUGGAAAUGACGCUGAAAGACAACACACCAUUUAUGCUACAGGAAAUAAAAUGAAUGACGAUACACAAAUUGCGUCUGAUAACACAAAAUUAACGAGAAGAUUAUACUUAGAAAAUGAAGUCAAUAAAUUAAAAAGGAAACUGCAUAAUUUACGUCAGUAUAUACGGAAAAACGAUGUCAACGAAAACGCCCGUAUCCGUCCCGUGGUAGCGUCGCAGAGCGGUCAACGAAGUACCAAGUUUGAUGAGGGCAAAAAUUUCUACAUGCCGGAUAGAGCACAUCCUCUGCAUGAAUAUUAAAUAAAAGUUA